rnacentral:rRNA from 1 species
UACAGAGGGUGCAAGCGUUGCUCGGAAUCAUUGGGCGUAAAGGGUAGGUAGGUGGUCUUAUUUGUCUGGGGUGAAAUCCUCGAGCUUAACUCGAGAAGUGCCCCAGAAACGGUGAGACUAGAGUUCUGGAGAGGGUCGUGGAAUUCCCGGUGUAGCGGUGAAAUGCGUAGAGAUCGGGAGGAACACCAGAGGCGAAGGCGGCGACCUGGACAGAUACUGACACUCAACUACGAAAGCGUGGGGAGCAAACAGG